rnacentral:rRNA from 1 species
AUUGAACGCUGGUGGCAUGCCUAACACAUGCAAGUCGAACGGCAGCACAGUAAAGAUUUCGGUCUUUAUGGGUGGCGAGUGGCGGACAGGUGAGUAACGCGUAGGAAUCUGUCCUGGAGCGUGGGAUAACCCGAGGAAACUCGGGCUAAUACCGCAUGAUAUCGAGAGAUCAAAAGCAGGGGACCGAAAGGCCUCGCGCUCUGGGGUGAGCCUACGUCGGAUUAGCUAGUUGGUGGGGUAAAAGCCUACCAAGGCGACGAUCCGUAGCUGGUCUGAGAGGAUGACCAGCCACACUGGGACUGAGACACGGCCCAG